rnacentral:misc_RNA from 1 species
AAGUCGUAACAAGGUAACCGUAGGUGAACCUGCGGUUGGAUCAUUAAAAAUAUAACAAAAUUUUGUUGUUGUCGGGUUUGUCUCGUCAAUGACAAAAUUCCUGUGGGUGGCCCCACUUCCGCCAUUGUGCGGUGGAUGGGAUAAGCCAGGCAACCACGGGGAGCUUCGGCUCACAUCUUGUGAACUGUACCGUCUUUGGUGGUGGGGUGGGCAUGGCAGUACGCCAUGUCUCAUCUGUCAGCGUGGGCCGCAAGGUCCAGGCCGUGGACAAGCCACCACAUGUUUUCAAACGUUUUCUUUAUUUUUGACUGACAUUUUAAAUUGUUUAAAUAUACAAACAACUUUUGGCAACGGAUUUCUUGGUUCUC